rnacentral:rRNA from 1 species
UACAGAGGUGGCAAGCGUUGUUCGGAAUUACUGGGCGUAAAGGGCGCGUAGGCGGUCAGGUCAGUCCCGUGUGAAAUCCCUCGGCUCAACUGAGGAACUGCACGGGAAACUGCCUGGCUUGAGUUCGGGAGAGGGAAGCGGAAUUCCGGGUGUAGCGGUGAAAUGCGUAGAUAUCCGGAGGAACACCGGGGGCGAAGGCGGCUUCCUGGACCGACACUGACGCUGAGGCGCGAAAGCUAGGGGAGCAAACGGG